CCUACGGGGGGCAGCAGUGGGGAAUAUUGCACAAUGGGGGAAACCCUGAUGCAGCGACGCCGCGUGAGUGAAGAAGUAUUUCGGAAUGUAAAGCUCUGUUAGUAGGGAAGAAAAUGACGGUACCUGACUAAGAAGCCCCGGCUAACUACGUGCCAGCAGCCGCGGUAAUACGUAGGGGGCAAGCGUUAUCCGGAUUUACUGGGUGUAAAGAGAGCGUAGGCGGUAGGGCAAGUCUGGAGUGAAAGCCGGGGGCUCAACCACCGGACUGCAUUGGAAACUGGCAGGCUGGAGUGCAGGAGAGGUAAGUGGAAUUCCUGGUGUAGCGGUGAAAUGCGUAGAUAUAAGGAGGAACACCAGUGGCGAAGGCGGCUUGCUGGACUGUAACUGACGUUGAGGCUCGAAAGCGUGGGGAGCAAACAGGAUUAGAUACCCUUGUAGUC
rnacentral:rRNA from 1 species